ensembl:lncRNA CASC15 cancer susceptibility 15
GUUCCCAGGGAUUUAGUCUGGGGGGACAACCCAUGGCGAGAUGUGGUGGCAUUUUACCUCAGAGUGGAGCUGAAGAUGGAUAAACAAGGGCACCGAGGAAGAGAACCAAUGGCAGAGGCCACAUGUGCAAGCAAGAUGGGAGUCUGGAGAGCCUCAGGCUAAAUCACGAGUGCUCAGCCCUCUCCUCUUUGUAAGGGCAACCGGGUCAUAUCUGCCAGCAUAGAACUGCUCUGUCCACAGCCCUAAAAUCUAAUACCUAGAACAAUAAAUGCACUUAAGCACGUCAAACUCUCUCAACCAGUGAUGAAAUCUGUCACUAGCGAAGGGACUUGUCCCAAGGGAGCUGAACACCUGCCGCUGCACCCUGACAAUGUAUAAGAAACAAGCACCACUGUGGAUGCAGCCCCAGAGGCCUAGUGUCAUGGGGGUGCAAGGCCCUGCUUCAGGCUGGGGGCCUGGGGAGGGGCUGGUACCUCUCUACCUCCUGCAGCUCCUGUUCCUCUGGCUCCUGGUGAAAAUCUGGGUCUGAACCCAUAGCAAGUGAGGGCCACAAGGCUUCACCUUCUGAGAUGCAGCUAGAAGAAACAGCUGGUAUAAUAUAUGGUCAUGCACUACCUAACUACGUUUCCUCAACAUGGGACUGCAUAUAUGACAAUGGUCUGUCCCGUGAGAUUAUAAUAAAGCUGAAAAAUUUCUAUCACCCAGUCAUAUCAUAGCCAUAGUAAUGUCAAGGCCCAAGGUAUUGUGUGUCUGUGGUGAUGCCGGUGUAAACAAACUUGCCACACUGCCAGUCAUAUGAAUAGAGCACAAACAAUUAUGUAAUAUAUAGUACUUGAUCAAAAUACACAACUAUAUUUCUGGUUUAUGUAUUUACUAUACUAUACUUUUAAUCAUUAUUUUAGAGUGUACUCCUUCUGCAUCUAUGUGUCAACUGCAAAACAACCUCAGGCAGGUCCUUCAGGAGGUAUUCCAGAGGAAGGCAAUGUAAUCACAGAUGACAGCUCUAUGCAGGUUAUCACCCCUGAAGACCUUCUACUGGGACAAGAUGUGGAGGUAGAAGACAGUAAUAUUGAUGAUCCUGACCCUGUGUAAGCCUAGGCUAAUGCAUAUGUGUGCUGUGUCUUAGUUUUUACCAAAAAGUUUAAAAAGUAAAAUAAAAAUAGGAAAUAGCUUAUGGAAUAAGGAUAUAAAGAAACCAUUUUUGUACAGCUGUACAUGUGUUUGUGUUUUCAGCUGUGUUAUUACAAAAAGGUCAAACUUUAAAAAUAAACAAGUUUAUAAAGUAAAAAGAUUUCAGUAAAGUACAGUAAGGUUAAUUUAUGGUUGAAGAAAAACAUUUUAAAAAUAAAUUUAGUGUAGCCUAAGUGUCCAGUGUUUCUAAAGUCUACAGUAGCGUGCAGUCAUGUCCUAGGCCUUCACGUUCACUCACCACUCACUCACUGACUCACCCAGAGCAAAUUCCUGUCCUGCAAGCUCCAUUCAUGUUGGAAAACUUUAAUAUGAGAUUGAAGAUAUGAUUUGCUUUCUGGAUUGUUGUAUGCUACUAAAACCGAAGAAAGAGAAGGAAAAAUGGAUGAAUCGACGGACCAUAUCACCCUGGCACCUAUAUCAGCUCAAAAACUGAAGGAAAUACCCCUUUCCUGCCCUCUCUUUGACUAAUGCUAUAGACUCUGAGUCAGUAGUUCCUGGUGGGACCUGAGAGUCCACAUUCCUGAUGAGCUCCAGGUGUUCCCAUGCUGCUGCCCCUCUGACCACACUUAGAAUAAGAAGGCUUGAAAUGAAAUCUGAGAAAUCAGCCUCUUGAUUCCAAUUUUAAACAUGCAAUUGAUUCUUGUAAUUUUUCAUUCUUGUCAAAAUGCAUACCAGUAAGUUUGUAAUCAGUAUUGGCAUGCUUAAAAGAAUUUAAGACUUGUUAUAUUUGUCAUUUUAAUUUAUUUAAACUUUAAAGAUUUGUUCAGAACUUGGAAAGAUUUUGCUUAAGCUCAUAAAUUUACCCACUCAGGCAUAUGAGAUAGGGUACUUUGAUUUAUAAAUGAAGUUUAAAAUUAAGGGAAUUUAAUUAAGUUUUCAAAAUGAGAUUGGUUGUUUUAAGGGGAAUUUACUUUGUGUAACUUGAGUUCAUCAAACGCUAAUCCAAGUUCCCUGCAAAACCUGUUCUGUUU